GAUGAACGCUGGCGGCGUGCCUAAUACAUGCAAGUCGAGCGAAUGGAUUAAGAGCCUGCUCUUAUGAAGUUAGCGGCGGACGGGUGAGUAACACGUGGGUAACCUGCCCAUAAGACUGGGAUAACUCCGGGAAACCGGGGCUAAUACCGGAUAACAUUUUGAACCGCAUGGUUCGAAAUUGAAAGGCGGCUUCGGCUGUCACUUAUGGAUGGACCCGCGUCGCAUUAGCUAGUUGGUGAGGUAACGGCUCACCAAGGCAACGAUGCGUAGCCGACCUGCGAGGGUGAUCGGCCACACUGGGACUGAGACACGGCCCAGACUCCUACGGGAGGCAGCAGUAGGGAAUCUUCCGCAAUGGACGAAAGUCUGACGGAGCAACGCCGCGUGAGUGAUGAAGGCUUUCGGGUCGUAAAACUCUGUUGUCAGGGAAGAACAAGUGCUAGUUGAAUAAGCUGACACCUUGACGGUACCUAACCAGAAAGCCACGGCUAACUACGUGCCAGCAGCCGCGGUAA
rnacentral:rRNA from 1 species